UACAGAGGUCCCAAGCGUUGUUCGGAUUCACUGGGCGUAAAGGGUGCGUAGGUGGUGAGGUAAGUCGGAUGUGAAAUCUCCGAGCUCAACUCGGAAAUGGCAUUGGAAACUACCUUGCUCGAGGGUUGGAGGGGGGACUGGAAUGCUUGGUGUAGCAGUGAAAUGCGUAGAUAUCAAGCGGAACACCAGUGGCGAAGGCGAGUCCCUGGACAACUCCUGACACUGAGGCACGAAAGCUAGGGGAGCAGACAGG
rnacentral:rRNA from 1 species